AUACCUAUAUGAAGAUAAAUGAUAGACUGAUUGAAAGAUAGAUAAAUUGACCCUACUUGUGGGAUAGAGUAAAAGUACCAUGAUCUGAAGAGGGAAGAUUAUUUUGAUUUUUCCUCCCAUAUGAAAUGGUUAAGCAACAAGAA